UAUUCGUGGUGGAAUAUUUUCGAUGCACCGGAGAUUAACUGGAUGGCUUGUUGAAGAGGCUUUUUAUCGUCCAAAAGCACCAUUUGAGUUCAUAUCCCAAUUUAUCAGUCGAUAAUAAGUCGACCAACGCAAAUUAAUUAUAGCAAUUCUUCCUGACGCUCCUCUCAAGCUUUAUUCGUCAAGCCUUUUGCUACCUUCGUUUCGAGAAACCUUGGACAUGCCAACCGGUGAAUCACCCCCAUCGAUCACCCAUCCUUUUCCGGUACCGUGACCUACAUUUUGAUAACACGAGAAAGUGAAGCGUGACGAACCGGUUCGGGGAACCGCUGACAACACUUCCCUCCAAUAGAACAGUGCUGUCGAGGGGUUUUCGGUUGCUGUGGACGCUUUUCGCCGGCUAGUGUGGAUCGUUUCCAGGGCAAUGGUUCCCGGUUCGUUGCCCAAAACGCUGUAAUGAUGGUUCUAACGAACGUUUGCUCACUAUAGUUUGUUCAGGGCGUAUAUGAAAUACAUCCAGAGCUCGGUCUCGAUAAUGUAUGCCAACCGUUUAAGGUUGCCGUCUGAACCACCCCACCCAAGGGGAUCAAGAAGAAGUUGAUGUCAGUUUUGCUCGUAACUAAGUAAUUUGUUCCCCCACUGGGUCAUACAGGUGGAAAGGCAUGUUGUGAGUGAUACUGUGGUUACUAUGUUAAUAAGUUGCACAUUUUAUAAUGGAUGUGCCCGCAUGUGGUUAGGUUUUGUCUGGAGUUGAAGAAGCUACAUCAUGCAAAGAAGAAUGGAAAAGAAUGGCAACGCAUUUC